rnacentral:rRNA from 1 species
AUGGCUUUCGUGCUACUGGUAGUUGUUGCAGUCAUGUUGCACCUAGCCUCUACAUCAGCGCAGCCAGGCCCCGGAUGCAAAACACAAUGUGGUGAUGUCAACAUCCCUUAUACGUUUGGUAUUAGUAUUGGCUGUGCUAUUAAAGGUUUCGAGAUCAUUCGCCGGAGGACUGCCGAUGGAACCGACAAGCCGUUCAUGUUUGUUCAGGCGGUGGAGGUUCUGAGCAUCUCAGUGCCCCGCGGUCAAGUCCGUGUUUUCGUCGACAUCUCGACAUACUGCUACAAUACAACUUCAAGAUCAAUGGUACACAACGCUUGGUCCCUUGACUUCUCGCAAAGCCCGUACCGCUUCUCCUAUGUACACAACAAGCUCAUAGUUAUUGGCUGCAACACGCUCACAUACAUCAACAACUUGGGAAGCACUGCAAAGUAUACGACAGCAUGCGCAGCGGUGUGUGAGAGCCCGGCAGCACUGACAAAUGGUUCUUGUGUUGGCGCAGGCUACUGCCAAAACGAUAUACCAAAGGGUCUAAGGGGCUAUAGCUUCAGUUUUUAUGACGUUUACCAUAAUUCCAAUAGUAUGCUUUUCAACCCAUGUGGCUAUGCCGCCAUGGUGGAGACAGAGACAUUUAGUUUCAGCUCGGACUACAUAACAACUACAAGGUUCAAUUAUACCGACGAUGGGCGGAAGCCACUGGUGCUGGACUGGGUGGUCGGAAAAUGCAACAUGUGAAGUGGCCCGAGACAUGCCUUCUUACGCAUGCCAUAGCAGGAACAGCAUGUGUGUGAACUCGACUAACGGCCAAGGGUAUCUAUGCAACUGCACCGACGGAUAUGAAGGGAACCCUUACCUCUUUGUCAGAUGCAGAGGCAAGUUCAUUUCUUUGCUUGAUCCCUAUGUCAAUGAAUGUGAGAAGAAUUCAAGUAUAUGCCCAAUGUCUGCAACAUGCCACAACACUAUAGGAGGGUAUUAUUGUUCAUGUUCUCCAGGCAGAAAGUUUGUAAUGGAAACAAAAUCUUGUAACCCAGACAUCACCCUAAUCAUAGGCAUUAGCAUCGGCGUUGUUGUUCUGGUGAUUAUCAUCUUGUGCAUACGUGUAAUAUUUGAGAGAAGAAAGCUUGCGAAUGUCAAAAAACAGUAUUUUCAGCAGCAUGGAGGGAUGCUAUUGUUUGAGAAGAUGAAAUCAGAUCAGGGACUUUCAUUUACAGUGUUUACUGAAGCAGAACUGAAACAAGCAACAAAUAAAUUUGACGAAAGUCAGAUUCUUGGACAUGGAGGCAAUGGCACUGUGUACAAGUACAAGGGAAUAAUUAAGGAUAUCACUCCAGUGGCAAUUAAAAGGUGUGCAUUGGUUGAUGAUAGGCAGAAGAAGGAAUUUGGCAAAGAAAUGUUGAUUCUUUCCCAGAUCAAUCACAAGAACAUUGUCAAGCUAUUGGGAUGUUGCCUUGAGGUGGAAGUCCCCAUGCUAGUAUAUGAGUUCAUCCCAAAAGGAACAUUGUUUGAUCUUAUUCAUGGCAAGAACAGUAAACCGCAUCUCCCUUUCAGUUCUCUUCUAAGGAUCGUCAAUGAGGCAGCUGAGGGGCUUGCAUUUUUACAUUCCUACGCAAACCCACCAAUUCUACAUGGUGAUGUGAAAACCUCUAACAUCCUUCUUGAUGAGAAUUACAUGGCAAAGGUGUCAGAUUUUGGGGCAUCUAUAAUAGCACCAACUGACAAAGCCCAAUUCGUCACAAUGGUUCAAGGGACAUGUGGUUAUCUGGACCCCGAAUAUAUGCAGACAUGUCGCUUGACAGACAAAAGUGAUGUUUAUAGUUUCGGUGUUGUUCUUCUAGAGAUCCUAACUGGGGAGGAACCACUGAAACUUAAAGGUCCUGAGGUAUGCCGGAGCCUGUCGUCGAGUUUCCUGCUGGCUAUGAAGGGGAACAAUCAUGAUAAUAUGCUCGACAAUCAAAUAAUAGGUCAUGAGAACAUGGAGUUGAUUGUAGGGGUAGCAGAUCUAGCUAGGCAAUGCUUGGAAAUGUGCAGUGAAAAUAGGCCCUCGAUGAAAGAGGUAUCUGAGGAGCUUAGCAGAUUAAGGAAGCUUUCGAGGCAUCCUUGGAUACAGCGUGAUACUGAGACAGAUAGCUUUCUCGGUCUGAUUGAAAUAGAACAAAGCUCUGAGUGCACAGAGAAGGAUGAAAGAAUGCCCAUAAAUCCAAGCAGUUUUUACCUUAUGAGGUGA